rnacentral:rRNA from 1 species
AGAGUUUGAUCAUGGCUCAGGAUGAACGCUAGCGGGAGGCCUAACACAUGCAAGCCGAGCGGUAUAGAAUCUUCGGAUUUUAGAGAGCGGCGUACGGGUGCGGAACACGUGUGCAACCUACCUUUAUCUGGAGGAUAGCCUUUCGAAAGGAAGAUUAAUACUCCAUAAUAUAUUGAUUGGCAUCAAUUAAUAUUGAAAGCUCCGGCGGAUAGAGAUGGGCACGCGCAAGAUUAGUUAGUUGGUGAGGUAACGGCUCACCAAGACGAUGAUCUUUAGGGGGCCUGAGAGGGUGAUCCCCCACACUGGUACUGAGACACGGACCAGACUCCUACGGGAGGCAGCAGUGAGGAAUAUUGGACAAUGGGUGCAAGCCUGAUCCAGCCAUCCCGCGUGAAGGACGACUGCCUAUGGGUUGUAAACUUCUUUUGUAUAGGGAUAAACCUCUCCUCGUGAGGAGAGCUGAAGGUACUAUACGAAUAAGCACCGGCUAACUCCGUG